AAAUGAGCAACAGCGAUCAGGAGGUUUCACUGGAGAUGACUGGUAUUUGAUGGGACACCACAGGAAGUCCACAAUUUCUUCCUCACCUUCUUGCCCAGAACAGCUCUCCCCAUUCAUACUGAGGAUACCAGUUGUACCCUCACUCUCACUUCAUCUCUGGUUUCACUCAUCUGGAAGUGCUUUGCUAGCUGUUGCUUAGGGACAUAACUAAAUAUGGAUCUAGCUUCUCCUCUCUGUGCAGUGGCUUUUACAGCAUCCCUUAAAUUGUGAUUUCUCCUUGCAAGAGCUCCUUGACUGGGUGAAGUUUUCUGUUCUGCUGUACCAGCUCAAUGCAUCAGUCAGGUUUCUUCCUAUUACUCUUGUAAACCCUAGCUUGGAUACUUUCAGCAUGUUACUUACAACAUUGCUGAGUGCUCUGAUCAGUCUUUUAAAAAUAAAUAAAUAUAUAUAUAAAUAAUAUCUUCUACUCAUAACAAAAUCUAAUGUACCUGACUGGGUAGGGUUAUGUCUAGAAAGUUUUUAACAUCUCUUUCUCCUAUCAGGCAAAAUCAAAACUCCUGAACUCUGCAGGGCUGGCUGCUGAUUGAAGUACAAUCACAUUUAAACAUUGCAACUUACAGACAAUUGACUUCUGGCACUUCUAGAAGCCAUGGCCAAAGGUGACCACAGGGCACAGUGGAAGGGCCUCAAGGAGAUGAGCACCAGGUGGGUUUCCCCUCCAGCUCAGGAAGAUUAGCUGGAAAAUACAAGCUGCAGCUGAUGGACUGAGGGAAUUGCUGGAAGGAACCAAUAAAUAUGAGCCUGAGGCACAGAAAGGAUGCUUAAUGCUGCUGGGCAGGAGCAAGUAGGAGGGGACUGAAGAUGUAAAGAUUCGUUAGGAUAUUGAAACAACUUAUUGGGAGCAGUUUCUUUCUGAUUAAGCCUCAACAGAAGUGUGGAGACUCUCCCUCCAUUAUGAAAGCUAACAGCAUGAACAGGAAACCCAUCAAGCCAAAGUUAGAAGUCAUAAGAAGCUAUUAUCCAUGCUGCAAAACUCUGAGCUGAAGGUGACUUCCACUUCACAGGAUUUCCAGCGGAGCUCCAGAUAAGUGAGAUGCCUCCAUCUCUAGGAACUCCUCCAGAAGAUCACAUUUUCAGGCAGAGCAUAGCUUCCUCUCCUCCUAGUAUCGAUCUUACCUUCCUUACUUACGCUAAGUGAUUUUUAGGCAUGAACAAAGCCCCACCGAGGGAUUUUCCAUCACAUGAUUUGCAGAAUUUGCCCUGUACCACCUCCUACAGAUAUUUAAAAGGACAUGUAUCAAG